rnacentral:lncRNA from 1 species
UGGCCUCCCAAAGUUCUGGGAUUAGAGGGAUGAGCCACUGCGCUCGGUCUAUUUUGACAGUUAUUUUAUCUCAGCAGUUUAAAUAUAUCAUGCUAAUGUAUCUGGUAUUUAUUGUUGGCCCAGAAAUUAUUCCUUUGCAGGUGGUGCAAAGGAUCAGCAUGGGAGUUUUGACCUGCUCCGUUUCCGACCUGGGUCGGUUCACCCCUCCUUAGGCAACCUGGCAGUUCCCUGCUCCAGGGAGGUCACCCUCUUGAUGCUGAAUUUAGCACGGACACCUGAUGGGCACAGUGCACUGCAGCCCAGAGCUCCCGGGCUCAAGCCAUCCUCCUGCCUCAGCCUCCAAGUAGCCAGGACCAUAGGCACGCACCCUGAGAGUUCCUUGAUGCUGUUUCCAGAAAGAUAGGGAAAUCUAUGUUGCUUGGGAACCUAUGAUGUAAAGAUGUACUUCCUGUAAUAUACAGCUUGAUGGAGGAAUAGUAUAUGGCAUAAACACUUUCUCAGUAAUAACUUGUAUGGACAGAUUAAACAGAACACAGACUUGGUAAAAAGUUUGAAGCGUUACGUCUCUUAAUAACUGAGUGGUUGUAACUAAUUACACAGUGAAGUAAAUGAAUGGUAGAGAUGAAGAACCAAAGGUCACGGCUCCUAUGAAAACAUUCAGAGGCAUUUUCUAAGAUGC